GGUCCAGACUCCUACGGGAGGCAGCAGUGGGGGAUAUUGCACAAUGGGGGCAACCCUGAUGCAGCGACGCCGCGUGAGCGAUGGAGUACUUCGGUAUGUAAAGCUCUGUCAGCAGGGAAGAGAAUGACGGUACCUGACCAAGAAGCCCCGGCUAAAUACGUGCCAGCAGCCGCGGUAAUACGUAUGGGGCAAGCGUUAUCCGGAUUUACUGGGUGUAAAGGGAGCGUAGGCGGCAGGGCAAGCCUGAUGUGAAAGCCCGGGGCUCAACCCCGGGACUGCAUUGGGAACUGUGUGGCUGGAGUGUCGGAGAGGCAGGCGGAAUUCCUAGUGUAGCGGUGAAAUGCGUAGAUAUUAGGAGGAACACCAGUGGCGAAGGCGGCCUGCUGGACGAUGACUGACGUUGAGGCUCGAAAGCGUGGGGAGCAAACAGGAUUAGAUACCCGCGUAAGA
rnacentral:rRNA from 1 species